rnacentral:rRNA from 1 species
UCGAGGGGCAGCAUGGUAGGUAGCAAUACUUAUUGAUCGCGACCGGCGCACGGGUGAGUAACGCGUAUGCAACUUACCUAUCAGAGGGGGAUAGCCCGGCGAAAGUCGGAUUAAUACUCCAUAAAACAGGGGUCCCGCAUGGGACUAUUUGUUAAAGAUUCAUCGCUGAUAGAUAGGCAUGCGUUCCAUUAGGCAGUUGGCGGGGUAACGGCCCACCAAACCGACGAUGGAUAGGGGUUCUGAGAGGAAGGUCCCCCACAUUGGUACUGAGACACGGACCAAACUCCUACGGGAGGCAGCAGUGAGGAAUAUUGGUCAAUGGCCGAGAGGCUGAACCAGCCAAGUCGCGUGAAGGAUGAAGGAUCUAUGGUUUGUAAACUUCUUUUAUAGGGGAAUAAAGUGUGGGACGUGUCCCAUUUUGUAUGUACCCUAUGAAUAAGCAUCGGCUAACUCCGUGCCAGCAGCCGCGGUAAUACGGAGGAUGCGAGCGUUAUCCGGAUUUAUUGGGUUUAAAGGGUGCGUAGGUGGUAAUUUAAGUCAGCGGUGAAAGUUUGUGGCUCAACCAUAAAAUUGCCGUUGAAACUGGGUUACUUGAGUGUGUUUGAGGUAGGCGGAAUUCGUGGUGUAGCGGUGAAAUGCUUAGAUAUCACGAAGAACUCCGAUUGCGAAGGCAGCCUGCUAAGCUGCAACUGACAUUGAGGCUCGAAAGUGUG